AACGAACGCUGGCGGCAGGCCUAACACAUGCAAGUCGAACGAUAAGCCACCUUCGGGUGGUGGACAGUGGCAGACGGGUGAGUAACGCGUGGGAACGUGCCUUUCGGUUCGGGAUAACCCAGGGAAACUUGGGCUAAUACCGGAUACGCCCUCCGGGGGAAAGAUUCAUUGCCGAAAGAUCGGCCCGCGUCGGAUUAGCUAGUUGGUGGGGUAAAAGCCUACCAAGGCGAUGAUCCGUAGCUGGUCUGAGAGGAUGACCAGCCACACUGGGACUGAGACACGGCCCAGACUCCUACGGGAGGCAGCAGUGGGGAAUAUUGGACAAUGGGCGCAAGCCUGAUCCAGCCAUGCCGCGUGGGUGAAGAAGGCCCUAGGGUUGUAAACCCCUUUCAGCGGGGAAGAUAAUGACGGUACCCGCAGAAGAAGCCCCGGCUAACUCCGUGCCAGCCGCCGCAGUAACAC
rnacentral:rRNA from 1 species